rnacentral:rRNA from 1 species
AGAUACCCCCGUAGUCCCAGCCGUAAACUAUGCGCGUUAGGUGUAUCGGUGACCACGAGUCACCGAGGUGCCGAAGGGAAACCGUGAAACGUGCCGCCUGGGAAGUACGGUCGCAAGGCUGAAACUUAAAGGAAUUGGCGGGGAGCACCACAACGGGUGGAGCCUGCGGUUUAAUUGGACUCAACGCCGGGAAGCUCACCGGAUAAGACAGCGGAAUGAUUGCCGGGCUGAAGACUCUGCAUGACUAGCUG